rnacentral:rRNA from 1 species
AUUGAACGCUAGCGGGAUGCCUUACACAUGCAAGUCGAACGGAGUGGCGAACGGGUGAGUAAUGUAUCGGAACGUGCCCAGUAGCGGGGGAUAACUACGCGAAAGCGUAGCUAAUAUCGCAUACUUUUGGAGCGGCCGAUACGGAAUUAGCUAGUUGGUAGGGUAACGGCUCACCAAGGCGACGAUCCGUAGCUGGUUUGAGAGGACGACCAGCCACACUGGGACUGAUGAAAGGCCCAGACUCCUACGGGAGGCAGAAGUAGGGAAUUUUGGACAAUGGGGGAAACCCUGAUACAGCCAUGCCGCGUGUGCGAUGAAGGCCUUCGGGUUGUAAAGCACUGUUGGCAGGGAAGCGGUACCUGCAGAAUAAGCACCGGCUAACUACGUGCCAGCAGCCGCGGUAAUAC